UUCGCCGCGUCUUGCGCGAGCCCCGGACGGGGGAGCCGUACCCGGCAACGCGACAAGACGGCCAGG
rfam:Corynebacterium sp. KPL1821 genomic scaffold addSR-supercont1.1, whole genome shotgun sequence.